rnacentral:lncRNA from 1 species
GUUGCUAACCUGGCUUUAGGCCUUUAAUGGCUAUUGUGGUGAUGACGUUUUGAAUGGUUUCUAUCACCAGUAAUUGUGGAGGCAUAAAAAUAGUGGCUCUUGUAAUUAAGACGCGAGUGAUAGUAAAUUGUGUGAGUAUAUGCAUAUCUACUAGGUAAGAAAAAGCUUCUUCCAGUUUGAAAUUUCAAAUACUCAUUUUUC